UUUUCAAAAUUUAGGAAGGCUAAGUAAGUUUAACUUCUUAUUCAUCUGAUAGUCUUUCCAAUUAUCCAAACAGGCGUAGUAGGCAAGUUACUCAGUAACUUGGGAUGGGGUCUCAAUCCCUCUGAAGGAGCAGGCAGGUAGCUUGGGGUUUUUCCUGGAUAUGUCUCUGUCACUAGAAACUCAAUUGUCCCCUGUGACUAGCAGUGCCUUUUUUCAGCUUUGGAAAGGAGGUGGGAGGGCUCUGGGACACAGCUUCUUCCCACAGCCUGGUGCCUUGCUUAGCUGGUUUUGGGAAGGCAGCGCAAAGGCUGCGUGGGGGUGGGGAUGGGAGGACACAAAAUUUUGUCCUUGCCCAGAGCGCCAUAGUACCCAAGUCUGCCACUGCCUGAGGAAUGCUCUACCAGUAUAGAGAUUCACAGGUUCCUUUUGUUUCAGUCUUUGAAAACAUGUUCUAGUCUUUAAAAACUAGUUUGCUAAAACCUUUUCUAUUCCACCAAGCUUAUGCAGGCAAUUAAGCAUAACCUGUACAUUAACCUGUAACAGUAGAUCUCUGGCAUUUUUUUGGGGGGGGGUAUUUUUGUAUGUUGUUGUAAACCACUUUGAUCUUUUUAAUGAAUAGUGUAUACAAACAUUUUUAUAAAUAAAAUAAAUACAGAAACCCAAGCAUACCAGGGAACAAGAUCAAGAAGGAAGAGGCUUUUAACUAUUGAAAAACCCACCUCCUCAGUUCUUUGCCUGCUUCAGCUUUCUCGUUUAUCUUUCCACACAAAAAUCUCAAAAAACUGCAUCUGUAAAAAAUGAAUCAAUCAGCUGUGUAGACUUCCUAAAAUGGAUACAAAGCCAAUAAUUGAGACUAGUGUCCUAGGCAUGAGCUUGGAGGGAGCUCAAAGAGACUUCAAGGUUUAGAACUGUUCUUAGUACACGUUUAGGGGACCCCAAAAAUAUUCUCCAAAAACUCUAUUGUGUCCUCUCCAGAGUGCUAUCAAUACUCCUUGCUCAAAUAAGAAUGCCAAGCAACAGUUGGGCUACAGUUUUAGCUCUAUGGACCUGGAUGGGGUCUGGAACAAACCGUUCAGAUGCUUUUUCACUGAGGUGGAGGUCAGAGGUGGCACUAGCUGCUCCAUCACCUGGAGUGACGCACAUACUGUGCACCUGGAGGUGGGGCCAUGGGGUCAGGGCGAGUGUCCCAUGGGGGUGAGAUGGCCAUGGGGGGUGGAGCAAGCCGCACUUGGAGGGCUGCUUCCUGGGCAUGGGGGGUGGGGAGUCGCACUGCUUUGCCAGCAGCCUUCCUUCCUUCCCCCUUCCUUUUGACAGCUCAGGGGGAGGCUCCCCCCCCAGGAAGCAGCCCGGGAGUGGGGGGCAUGCCUGCGACUCCCAAGCCUCCCCCGAGCUGUCAAAACAAAGGGGGAAGGGGGGAAGGCUCAGGGUAGGCUUGGGAGUCACGGGUGGGCGGCCCGCUAAAUGUCACCCCCCUCAGGGAUGACACCCGGGGCAGACCGCCCCCACCGCCCCUGGCUGCGGUUCAAAGAUAAUUGAGAGAACAAAGCUUGAUUUUUCAUCAGCAAGCAAUAAAAUGUGAUAAAUAUGUUACACAGACUGGAAAUGUUAGAAUUAAUAAGCUGAAAUGUUGACGAAUUACUGUUUGCAUCCUUGACAUAUAAUAAUUGCUUCAUUUGUCAUGGAAAUCUGGGGAACUUAAAAUAGCGAGCACUUGCAAUGGAUUUCUCUUUCUCUCUGCAAAUUGCAACUCAUUCCACACCCAGGAGAUCCAGGAUGAAUGUCUUUUCUAUCAGCCGCAGGCAAUAACUUAUAGCAUUUAAGCCCCCCCCCCAAUCCUCAACAUUUAAAAUAAGAGUCUAAUCAAAUUAUUUCUGUUAUUACUUCCAGAAGAAAGCAUGCAGUUCUUCAGCAGAUAAUCAGUCACUGCUAUAGACACAGCUCUCUUUUCUUCAGCAAUCUGUACCUGCCCACUUGGCAGUCUUAAUUUGUCAAUAUGAGAAAUUCACUUUUCUGCAGAGAGGAACACUAUUGAGUGGCUGGAUAUGUGCAACUUUAAAUGGAAAUGGCACCACAAAUUGAUUAAACUAUAAAUACCUUCUCGAGAUAACAGCUUUUAUUUAUUCUGGAGAAGAUGAAAUGCCUUUCCAUUCAUUGGCUACCACUCUCUUCCAUGUGUUCAACAAUUGCAUGCCAAGAGGAGGAGCAUCACAGAAGCAUCAGGCUCCGCCUCCAAUCUCUGCGCAUUUUCUGGAAGAGGAAGGGGGCUGCUUCAGGCAGCAAAUGCUGGGGGGUUGGAAAGAGACCAAUGUGUGGCAUGCAGUCUUCCUGUCACCUUCUAAGCUAUCCUGUGGUGAAAGGUAAUCUUCUUCUUCUUCUUUGGCGAUCACUCGUAGCCGAGUAAGAUUGUCUUCCAUAAACACAGUUUUAACAAUGAGUCCGUAAGUGAUUGUGGAGGCCAAUUCUGGAUCCACACGUCCUUCCACAAUGAGGACAUUGCCAGCAUUCAAUUGUUAGGCCAGUCAGCUUCUGCACGUGGAACAGGGAAUGCAUCUAGUCCUUCACCUCAGGAAACAAAAUGUAUUGGGCCAGCUAUGUGACUGUAUAUAUGGAGGGCCCUGUUCAGGCACUGGAUGAACCUAGGUCUGCUACCCACCAUAGAACAAGAGAACAGCUCCAUAAGUUAUGAAAAGUAUAUAAGUGCAAUUCAUGGGUAAUACCAAAUUAAGGGUCUACUCUGAAUGCAAUGUCCAAUUCUGGUUUGGAGGGCAAGUUUGAAUGAUAGUGCUUAGCAGCCAGCAUUUCUGAUAUUUUGAACCACCGUGAGUUUAUACUGAAUUGUAUUAAUGGUUCGAUGCUGCUGCUGCUGCUGAUGACGAUGACUUUGAUAGUUGUUGUUGUAGGCAUGCAUCUGUCUUGGGAGACAAUGAAGGAGUGCACCAUUGGGAGGGGGGGCGGGUGAAGUCAAGCUGUUAGACCGAUGUGGGAGAGACAUGUUUUGUUGCAGCUGGGGCAGACGAGGGUGUCCGAUUGUGCUGCUUCAGACGCACCAUGGCAUUUCUUCUCUCGAUGGUCUUCCCAGUGGUUAUUUCUCCUCUGGUCACUGCUGUGGAUUUUGUUGUCUUUUUUUCUUUCUUUCUUUCUUUCUUUCUUUCUUUCUUUCUUUCUUUCUUUCUUUCUUUCAUAAUAAAUAAAUUCUUAAAUAAAGUGGCCUUAGUUCAACCCAACCUCUGUCUCUGUCUCUUCAUUUGGCUAUCAGGUCCCAAUAAAGUGACUCCUUUUACUGUUGGUAGAAAUGAUCAGCGCAAGGUGUACCUGCCCUAUCGAUAGGCACAUACCCUCCAAACAUUUCUCCAAUGAAAAUAGGGACAUCCCAUUCCAUAAUGAUAAUUUUACUAUUUAUACCCCACACAUCUUACUGGGUUGCCCCAGCCACUCAGGGCAGCUUCCAACAUAUAU